GAUGAACGCUGGCGGCGUGCCUAAUACAUGCAAGUCGAGCGAACGGACGAGAAGCUUGCUUCUCUGAUGUUAGCGGCGGACGGGUGAGUAACACGUGGAUAACCUACCUAUAAGACUGGGAUAACUUCGGGAAACCGGAGCUAAUACCGGAUAAUAUUUUGAACCGCAUGGUUCAAUAGUGAAAGACGGUCUUGCUGUCACUUAUAGAUGGAUCCGCGCUGCAUUAGCUAGUUGGUAAGGUAACGGCUUACCAAGGCAACGAUGCAUAGCCGACCUGAGAGGGUGAUCGGCCACACUGGAACUGAGACACGGUCCAGACUCCUACGGGAGGCAGCAGUAGGGAAUCUUCCGCAAUGGGCGAAAGCCUGACGGAGCAACGCCGCGUGAGUGAUGAAGGUCUUCGGAUCGUAAAACUCUGUUAUUAGGUAAGAACAUAUGUGUAAGUAACUGUGCACAUCUUGACGGUACCUAAUCAGAAAGCCACGGCUAACUACGUG
rnacentral:rRNA from 1 species